rnacentral:rRNA from 1 species
UACGUAGGUGGCGAGCGUUGUCCGGAUUUACUGGGCGUAAAGAGCGCGCAGGCGGUCGUACAAGUCGCGUGUGAAAGCCCCCGGCUCAACUGGGGAGGGUCACGCGAUACUGUUCGACUCGAAGGCAGGAGAGGGAAGCGGAAUUCCCGGUGUAGUGGUGAAAUGCGUAGAUAUCGGGAGGAACACCAGUGGCGAAGGCGACUUACUGGACACAUAUUGACGCUGAGGUGCGAAAGCGUGGGGAGCAAACAGG